rnacentral:lncRNA from 1 species
UUCCAGUUUGUCUUGUCGUAUCAGUGUCUCCAGUUUGUCUUGUCGUAUCAGAGUGUUUCCAGUUUGUCUUGUCGUAUCAGUGUCUCCAGUUUGUCUUGUCGUAUCAGAGUGUUUCCAGUUUGUCGGUCGUACCAGAGUGUUCCAGUUUGUCUUGUCGUAUCAGAGUGUUUCCAGUUUGUCUUGUCGUAUCAGUGUCUCCAGUUUGUCGUGUCGUACCAGAGUGUCUCCAGUUUGUCGUGUCGUACCAGAGUGUUUUCCAGUUUGUCUUGUCGUACCAGAGUGUUUCCAGUUUGUCUUGUCGUACCAGAGUGUUUCCAGUUGUCUUAUCGUAUCAGUUCCAGUUUGUCUUAUCGUACAGAGUGUUUCCAGUUGUCUUGUCGUAUCAGAGUGUUUCCAGUUUGUCUUGUCUUGUCGUACCAGAGUGUUUCCAGUUUGUCUUAUCGUAUCGGUGUUUCCAGUUUGUCUUGUCGUACCAGAGUGUUUCCAGUUUUGUCUUGUGUACCAGAGUGUUCCAGUUUGUCUUGUCGUAUCAGAGUGUUUCCAGUUUGUCUUGUCGUAUCAGAGUGUUUCCAGUUUGUCUUGUCGUAUCAGAGUGUUUCCAGUUUGUCUUGUCGUAUCAGAGUGUUUCCCAGUUUGUCUUGUCGUAUCAGUGUCUCCAGUUUGUCGUGUCGUACCAGAGUGUCUCCAGUUUGUCGUGUCGUACCAGAGUUUCCAGUUUGUUGUCGUACCAGAGUGUUUCCAGUUUGUCUUGUCGUACCAGAGUGUUUCCAGUUUGUCUUAUCGUACAGUGUUUCCAGUUUGUCUUAUCGUACCAGAGUGUUUCCAGUUUGUCUUGUCGUAUCAGAGUGUUUCCAGUUUGUCUUGUCUUGUCGUACCAGAGUGUUUCCAGUUUGUCUUGUCGUGUCGUAUCAGAGUGUUUCCAGUUUUGUCUUGUCGUAUCAGAGUGUUUCCAGUUUGUCUUGUCGUACCAGAGUGUUUCCAGUUUGUCUUGUCGUAUCAGAGUGUUCCAGUUUGUCUUGUCGUAUCAGUGUCUCCAGUUUGUUUGUCGUACCAGAGUGUUUCCAGUUUGUCUUGUCGUACAGAGUGUUCCAUUUGUCUUGUCUACCAGAGUGUUUCCAGUUUGUCUUGUCGUAUCAGUGUUUCCAGUUUUGUCUUGUCUGUCGUACAGAGUGUUUCCAGUUUUGUCUUGUCUUAUCAGAGUGUUUCCAGUUUGUCUUGUCGUACCAGAGUGUUUCCAGUUUGUCUUGUCGUACCAGAGUGUUCCAGUUUGUGUCGUAUCGAUC